GGGGUUGUGGCUUGGUGGUAGAGCACUCGCCUAGCAUGUGUGAGGCCCUGGGUUCGAUCCUCAGCACCACA
rnacentral:tRNA from 1 species